UAGUCUACGCCGUAAACGAUGGAUACUAGUUGUUCGGUUUUCGGACUGAGUGACUAAGCGAAAGUGAUAAGUAUCCCACCUGGGGAGUACGUUCGCAAGAAUGAAACUCAAAGGAAUUGACGGGGGCCCGCACAAGCGGUGGAGCAUGUGGUUUAAUUCGAUGAUACGCGAGGAACCUUACCAGGGCUUAAAUGUAGAUUGACAGGUUUAGAGAUAGACUUUUCUUCGGACAAUUUACAAGGUGCUGCAUGGUUGUCGUCAGCUCGUGCCGUGAGGUGUCAGGUUAAGUCCUAUAACGAGCGCAACCCCUGUUGUUAGUUGCCAGCAUGUAAAGAUGGGAACUCUAACAAGACUGCCGGUGCAAACCGCGAGGAAGGUGGGGAUGACGUCAAAUCAUCAUGGCCUUUAUGCCUAGGGCUACACACGUGCUACAAUGGUGCAUACAGCGGGUAGCGAAAUCGCGAGGUGGAGCUAAUCUUGUAAAGUGCAUCCCAGUUCGGAUCGGAGUCGU
rnacentral:rRNA from 1 species